ensembl:miRNA
GUGUGUGUGUGUGUGUGUGGUUAUUUUGGUAUAGUAGCUCUAGACUCUAUUAUAGUUUCCUGAGCUGCUGUACCAAAAUACCACAAACUGCCUG